ensembl:lncRNA
CUCAACAUAAGAUCUGUUUCCAUUGAUUUUCAGCCCAGUUCUUGUGUAAUUUGGCAUACUCCAACCUUUCCCCCCCCCUGUUUCCCUUCAUGACAGCCACUGAGAACAUUUCUGAUGAAGAUUCAGCAAACAGUAGAUUGAUCAACUGAAGGACAAGAUACAUCUCUUAGGUCCUGGUCUUUCUUUCUGUUGAUUAGCUGUAAAUCGUUUUAUGCCUGUCACAUUUUUUAUUGUCCUCCACUGCCCCAGAUUGCCCAGAUUUUUUUAGGGGCACACUGCACAGUAUUAACGAUUUUCCAAGUUUUCAGCAAACAGUUCUUUGGGAAACAUCAAACACUGCGUUAAACAUGUGUUAUCUUUGACAUUUGUCAUACAUACAACUAAAGAAAAUGAUGCUAGUAACAAAGAGACUAAAAAUACCAAUUUAAAUUAUGUUUAGACACAACGCUGAUUCAUGCCUCGAGUGAGGUACAUUUCUUAUACUUGAAUGAUUCAUACAGUCAGUGUUAGUGAGUGGUUGAACAAAAAAAAUAUUCCUCAAAAGCAUUUGGGUUAUGUCUACAACAAGUCCUCAGCCUUGGUCAAGCACAUGGACUGAGCUACAAAAUGAGUACAAAAAAAUCAGUCAGUGUCCAAAGAAAAUUGUUGAAACCGUCAGAAAGACUAGAGAACUAAAAACAUUAAGAAAGUCUGGAUCAGGAGGGGGGAAAAAUUACAGAAAGGAUCAGAGCACAAGCAUAAAACCACAAUGAGUGGCCAACUGUUGCACUUGCAUGGAAUAAAAAAAAAUCCCAGCACCUGGAACAGAAAAAUAUGAAGAAAAAAAACAUACAGUUAAAAAAAAAAUCAACAAUCCUGAAUAAGUAAUCUGUGAAAUUGAAUAUGAAAAGGUUAGAAACAUUACUACUUGGAGUGGACCAAUAACGGUAUUUUGUUUCAAAAUUACAUCCUACUGAGUUGUAACUACUGAAACAAAAAGUGUUACAAUCACGCCUGCUCUCCCCUACCACAUAAUUUCGACAUUACCUUUAUAACUAUCACCGGUUCCCAACCUUGAGUCAUCACAUAGAAAAACAAUCAUAAUGUCUGGGAAGUUUUGGUGAUUUAGUUUAUUCGUUUUUAAACUUUGGAUAUUCUCAACCAAAACACUGCUAGUCAUCUGUUUGGGUGGCACUUACUUUUCAGAGUGGCGAAGGGUUAUGCUGGGUAGAGAUGGAUAAUAGUAAUUUUUUUUUUUUUAAAGACAGCGUUCCUGUUUGUCAAACGAAUUAACUUGGCAUUCAUGACUUUCAGGUUUUUGCAUGAAUUCAGAUUUACGUGCCUCUUUAAAUACUCGGAUUUAGCGCUUAAAUGUGUAGAUCCAGUGGCCUUC